UACAGAGGGGGCAAGCGUUGUUCGGAAUUACUGGGCGUAAAGGGCGCGUAGGCGGCCUGCUAAGUCGAACGUGAAAUCCCUGGGCUCAACCCAGGAACUGCGUCCGAUACUGGUUGGCUUGAAUCCGGGAGAGGGAUGUGGAAUUCCAGGUGUAGCAGUGAAAUGCGUAGAUAUCUGGAGGAACACCGGUGGCGAAGGCGACAUCCUGGACCGGUACUGACGCUGAGGCACGAAAGCGUGGGGAGCAAACAGG
rnacentral:rRNA from 1 species